CUGUUUACAAUAGUAUUUUUGCAUUCAUUUACAUAUAUCUCUAAAUAAAAUAUCUCGUCUGCUUAAUAUGGCUAGGGCUAACUUUGACGUUCAGAUUUUUGGCACUUUCUUCCCCUACUUUGGAAUUUCAGCUGUAAGAACCCCAAAGUAAUCAAUUCCUUCUAAACACAAAACAAAAAUUCAAUCAAUUGACUGUUUUUAGUACUAGAUGAUUAGUAGAGAAUAAAAAGGAAUCUCGGCUGUACGAAAUCGGUACUUACGCUCAAAAAAAUUGGAAUAGGAGAAUAAAAAGGAAUCUCAGUUCUUCAGCUUCCUCUCUUCAGUUCUUCAAUCUUCGGUUCUUCGAUCCCCAGUUUUUUAGCUUCAGCUCUUCAUCUCUUCGAGAAAAUCGGGUUCUGGAGAAGAGAAUCUUCAGCUCAGCUCUUCAGUUCUUCAGCUUCCUCUCUUCGAUCCUCAGUUCUGGAGAAAAGCUUGUUCUACAGACAAAGAGUAAAGCGUAUGUUCUAGGAAAGAAGAGAGUAAAGUAUAUGUUCAGAUAGGAAAGAAGAGAAAUAGAAAAGUUUUUAUUAAUGUUUUAUUAAUUAUUUUUUUUGGACAAUAAAAAUGGGAGGGAGAGUUGAAAAUGUUGGUGGGAAUAUAAUUUUUUAGUGAAAAAUUUUAGGCCACACUUUUAAUGUGUUGUUUUUACAAUUAUAAAAAUAGGACACUUUAAAAGUGUGGCCAUAUAUGUAAAUAGUUGUUGCCAUUUAUUUCAUACUAUGACAACGCU
rnacentral:lncRNA from 1 species